CCAAUGCGCCAAACGUGAGAGCAGUUGCAUCAGAAACAGUCUCCGGCCCUUGAGAUACACCACCUUUAUGAGAAGUAUCAAGCAUCUUAUAUGACAUUCGCUGUUGCAACAUCUCUUUUCCCAGAUGCUCUUCCCCAUGGUCAAAGCCUUGUGAAUUAGAAGAAGCACCAAUAUCUGAUGACUUAUAUCCACCUUUUAUGGAAUUUUGAUCAUUUGAUCCAUGUGGAGCCCAUGAAGUGAUUAUCGUAUUAUUAUUUGUUGAAUCCAUGGAGCAAGGGAAAUUGGAGAACUUAAGAGGUUCCAUACCAAAUGGUNNNNNNNNNNNNNGUACAUUUCUCCAUACAUUGUAUGGCCUUGCUGAAUUUUCAAUCUGUUGUGACAUUACUGAUGGCUGUGAUACUGGGGCAGCCUCCAAAACUGGAAAUUGUUGACAAACAGGAUUGGUUUGCAUCUGUUGCGAAGCAUCUUGAGAAGGGGCUUGGUUAAAAGGUG
rnacentral:misc_RNA from 1 species